GGUAGGGUGGAGCAGUCUGGUAGCUCGCUUGGCUCAUAACCAAGAAACCGCAGGUUCAAAUCCUGCCCCUGCAA
rnacentral:tRNA from 1 species